ACUGGGUGUGGUGGUGCACGCCUGUAAUCCCAGCAACUCAGGAGGCAGAGGAAGGAGGAUUGGGAGUUUGAGGUCAGCCUGGGCAAAUUAGUGAAACCAUGUCUUAAAAUUAAAAAAAAAUUAUAAAGCUAGGGAUGUGGCUCAGUGGUAGAACAUCCCUGAGUUCCAUCCCCUG
rnacentral:sRNA from 1 species